AAAAGAUACAUAGGCUGAUCUGUAAGUAAAGAGAAGAACACAGAUGUAAGUUUGCGUUAUCUGGAAAAAAGUUUGAUGAAAGUAAUUUUAUUACAUUGCAGACUGCAAUUUGCAGUAAGCAUGACAAUGGCAAUUUCAAAAAUAACAUAUACGUAUAACAAUUGUAAAUAUUCUUGUACAAUCAGUUGCGUAUCUUUGUGAAUUAAUUAUACAUAUGAUAACAAUGAAAUAUUUUCGCGACAGGAAAUAAAGAACUUGUGCAAUAAAUGAAGAUUCUCAUACUCUUUAAUUCAGUAUCGAGUGAUCGCGAGUCUUUUUUCGUGUUUCAGGAAUAAAAUUAUUCGUAUCGAGACAAUGAUAUUAUUCCUCUCCUGGUUGCAGAUCUGCGAUCGUCAUAAUUGCAGUGCCGAUAGCGGUCGUGUAUAUGGAUUAUCCACACAACCAGCUAACCACACUGCCAACACGCCGAUCGCUAAAGGAAGUUACUCCUUUAAACGAUUAAGAAAAGUGUACGUUCAAUCCUGUUGAAGAUUCUUCAAUUGCUUCGUUCUCCAGCUUGACGAAUCAAUAGUUGACUUCUUCAUGCUGCGCAUCCUUAUUUCUAUAAUAUGGAUAUAUUCAUAUAUCGGAAGCCAAGCCUUUGAGAUUAGCUUUAGUAACAUAACUGCUUAAAAUUAAUUAUGUAAUUGUAAGGAAGAUUAUUAAGUUCAAUUGAAAAUAAAUUCUCGAUACAAAUUCAAUAUUAACAUGUACUAAAGCGAUACAAUAUAACGAUAUUUGAUAUAUUAAAACAAUAUUAUGAUAUAAAACGAGCAGGAUAGGAUAGCAUAGUUUUAAUUUGAUACGAUUAUAUUUUUCAAUUAAAUACUAAGACCAUAAAUGUUUCACAGUGCGACAAAUUUCUUUUAUCUCCUGGCAAUUCAUUGCUUUUGUAAUUGUUGCAAUUAAAGCAAAAAAUUAUCUCCAUAUGCACACGUAUGAAAUAUUCAUUGUUUACAGCAAAAGCAUCCGAGUAGUUUCCGAAUAUUUUCGUCAAUUUAUUAAUACAUAUUUUAUUUACAUAUUUUGUUGCACAUCAUAUAAUUACUUUCGUGAAAUUAACGAAAUCGCUGAUAUAUUCUGGGAAACUGAUUAUUAUACAUACUUACACGCGAAAGCGUCCGAUCCAAAUUCCAAAUUGCCGCGACUUACGAAAUAAGCGAGAGGAAAAUACGAAUAUCGACGGGGGGAUACACAUACGACUGCACGUGUUCACGAAGUUUUCCUAUCGAUUGACCUUGCCUUUGACGAAUCUCUGGCUCUAAGAGGUACUCCCGCCCCUAUAAGAGUCAAUUAUUUUUAACCAAGUAUUUCAAGCUUCCGCUUGCGCGCUGGCUUCACUUCGCUCGCCCUCUCUCGCUUUCCUUCGUCGCACUCUCUUCUCGCAUAUAUAUCAUAUAUAUACAUUUGUAAUAGUCUUAUACUGUCUUAUGCCGUAUCUUUAUAUCCUACGUAACAGCUUUGCUAAAUAUACACAUUAUUAAAGGACAACGAAAUGCGCGUAUUAUCCAAAUUCAAUUUGAAUUUUUAUUGGAAUAUAUUUUAAUGAUAAAAGCAAAAGAGUUCUUUGUGUUCUGAUGCCUCAAAAUUACUAUUAGAAAUUAGAAUGCAAGAAUAUGAAGAAUCUUAUUUAACGUACUCAAUUUCUCUAUAUAUAUUUUAUUCUAACAACUUCUUUUCAUAUUAUAUUCUUAAUAAAUAACAUACGUUUAAAGUGUGUUUGAUUAAAGAUUUAUUUUUAUGUACGACACUUUAGGUAUCUGUAUCAACAAAAUUCAAUAAAACUUACUUGUCCUAUUAUGUAUAUUCACAAAAUGUUUUUUCUGAAGCGAUUAGGACACUUAUAACGUGAUAGAUGAUUUGACAACUUGUAUUUCUUUUUAUAUCCAUACAUCCAUCAAACGUGAUCGAUAACGCUGGUAAAAGAUCGAUAUAAGAUGAGUGAAGUAAAUGAAGUGAAAACAACAAGUGUCCUUGAUUAAAAUUAUUAAAUUUCAACUACAGAUCAGCUUAAUUCUUAUUAAAACGUAUUAUUACUUUUAACAAUCUUUUAAAAUUAAAAAUGUACGCAAUGUAUGAAAAUUUUGAUAAAAGAUAAAAUAUGAUACAUUAAGUAAUUACUAUAUAAUCCUUUUACUCAUGUUCAUAGAACGUCUUUCUACAGAAAAAAAGGAUGUUCGAGAGAUGUUGAAACUUGUUCUUAUCUAUAUAAAUUAAUCACUAAUAAAGGCGCUGGUGAAAUUAAAUGAAGAACGCAUUAGAUGAUUUUUAUUGCCAUUCGAGAUACAAUAUAUGAUUCUAUGUAUAAGCAACGUUGCAUAUGUGUGCAUGUAUAUAUGUAUGCGCAUAAAUUGUAUGUGCCAGGUCUUGUUAUAUGAAACAAGUAUAGGCUGUAACACGUAUUCCUGCAGUAAAAAUCCCUCGUCACGGACGAUCGACCUUUAUUACAUAUCUAUUCAUAGGAGCCAUCAUUGCUGAUGAUAUCGCACGAAAAAAAUAUUUGUUGACGCAGCAUGCGUUCAGUCGCACGGAUGCAUCCCUGCUGCGGAAUUGAUGUUUCGCAAUGGAAAGGAGACACAGCGAUAUUAGCUAGUUCUUUUGGCAGCGAAAUUUAUUGAUCGCGCCACGCAUAUUAUGCCCAUACUUUGAGAAAAAGUCUCUCGAAUAGAAUUACUUUCUACAUUGCCAUCAAUUAUGUAUUAUCGAGCAAUCUCACAUGCUAAUUCACACAUCGCUCAUUCGCCAAGCAUUCGGAAUUUACGCAAUACAAAUGGCAAACGGUCGAGAUUGUCAUGAAUAAUAACCUUAACAUGUCUGUCGUUUUAUUAUUACCAAUACAAUUAUACUUGUAACGAUUAGAAUGUAUAAAAGAAAUUAUUAAGAAAAAUGAAACUUUCUCACGUUUGCCAUUCUUACAAGUUCUAGAGAAAAAAAUUCAAAUUUUAUCGCAUACGUUCCAUGAUAUCAAUGGUAACUUCGUUAAAUAAUAAUAUUUAAAUAAGAAAUAGAAAACAUAAUUGAAUUGUAAAAAAUCCUGAAAAUCGUUUUAAAAAACUUCAAGUUAAUAACAAUUCGGAAAUUUAAUCUAAUUUUGGGAAGUAACAAUUUUGUUUAGAACUGAAACCUUAACCAAUUUCAGUACUAAUUUUUUAUUGCACUCAAAUUCAAACUUUAAGACAUUUUAGAAUUUUCUAUCCCUGAUUUAAAUUCUUUUGAUCUAAUACUAACAAUGCGCACUCUCUUGAAAUUUCAUAUAAAAGAAAACAGUAUUUCCACGAAAAUAUACAUGUAUUAUAAUAUAUAUUAAUGUAUAUACAGCGCAACAAUUCUAUAAUAAAUUGCAAAAUAAUUAGAAAAGCAAUUUUUCUGAUGCUUUUUCUGGUAUUGCUCUCGCAACAAGUAUUCCGCAAAUAUAUCAAAAAUAUUGAUGGUACUCUUUAUUCAUGUACACUUAUCUAUGUAUUACAGUACUAAAAAGCUGACGUUGGUCGCUGAUGGCGACAGAAGAGAUGUCGUACCAGAUAGUGCAUUUACAGCAUUCAGGGCCCGUGUAAACGCGCAUCUGGCACGAGCCCCAACUGCCCUGUAAUCUCGAAUUGGCUCGCUUCCGCUCGUUUCGCUCUCAUAUUUUUCUUUUCGUACGUUAAUCUUUGCACUUUGUGUUACCCCUUUAUCCCUCCUUUUUCUCUGCUCUUCCAACGUUACUCUCUCUCUCGCUGCAAAUGUUCCGUUUUGAAUGUUAACGUAGAAGCAUUAGAGAAUAAUAAUUGAAUUUCAUCACAAUUCACAAUUGUGCGUGUUAAAAGUGUAAACACUUAUGCAACGACAUUUGAGUCACGCGAUUAUUCAACAUGUAAUUAACUCUUCGCUUCACGACGCGAUCGAAAGAGACUUGUGUACGAUGUUAAUGAUAUCGAUAUCAUUAAAUAUCACGCUCGAGACGAUACAACUCGAUUAAUUCAGCGGUCACUGUGUAAAUUUUCAUCCAAUUACUUCAAGACGCAACGGUAGCAAAAACUCGGCGACGCGAUGAGAUAAGGCCGCACUGUGUCUUUCCAGAAGGAUGUCAGCUGAUGCUAUUUUCCCUCUCGAAGCGCGAAAUGAGAAGAGGACGACGCUGCUAAUAAUAGUAGUCAGUGUCCCCGGUGCCACGACGCUCUGGCGUCGGGACGCAUGACUCGCUCGCUCGCUUUUGCUAAGAACGAUCUGUUAAUAUCGUAGCGAAACUCUGCGUCUUCUUUCAAUGGUUUUAGACAGCUAAGUCUUUCAUAGGCGCGAUCGAUGCGACUCAAGGACGCUACAAGCCGCCGAUGUACAAAACGACAAUUUCCCCCAAGUUUUAUGAAUAUUUUGUUAUCUCGAAUUUAAUUAACUUCUCGAGGUAAUUGCCAAGCGCGAUAUUAUUAUCGUGAUUAUCGUAAACUAAACAGAUACUUUUCUGUUCUAUUUUAGAAAAAAGAGAAAGUCGGAUGACGUAAUUAGUCAUAUCGUAUGUAGUUUUUAUAAAUCUGUUACUUUUGUAUGUUGUCUGCAAAUUUAAUUAUGUUUUUUUCGCAACAAUAAUAAACGUACAAUUUAUUGAUAUUAUAAUUAUUCGAAAGUCUUAUUUAUUCAAACAAAUUUUAGAUUCAAUCGAUUUACAAUCUCGCAAUCUCAAAUUUCGUUUGGUCGGAUUUAACAUAUCUCAAUACACAUCUUACGAUAAAUAGAUAAGUCAAUCUAUCCACUGGACUACAUUUCUACCUCGAUCAUGUUCACGAAAUCACGAUCAUGUUGUACGAUAUUACACACGUUAUUUCAGUUGAACGAACUUCUUAUUCAUCUUCGAUUUUUUGAACGAUCGUAUCGCGAUUCGUAUUGCACCGAAGCAAUCCUUUGAAAGUCUCUAUUAGUGCAAAAAGUGGCAUUACAACAUUCAAUGCCGCGGAAGCGAUCAAUCUCAUUCCGCGGUUUGGAAUCAGAAAAUCAAAUCUUUAUUUUUAGGCCACAAAAGAAAAACAGAAUCAAAAGGGAAAAGAAACCGAAGAUCGAGAUUAGUACGAAUUUCACAAGUUCGCGAAACUAUCAACCGCGCCGAUCGCGUGCGCAUGCGCGCGCAACGUGCACCACGAAUAAAUACACCAAUCUCGCGCAACGCUGUAACACGAUCGCGGAAGAGAGACGACGUUAUUCAACCGUCGACUUUCGGAGAUCGCGAGACACGGUCGAAACGGAAAAGAUGGCGCCUGAGAUGACAGGAGUACCGCUGGAUGCGGGUGCAACACUUUGAGACGAUCCCGUCCCGAAUGAAGAGAGAAGGAAAGAGAGAGCGGAGACCGCAGCGCAGCGGCAGUGUCGACAUCGAUCAUACGCCGUGAUUAACUAGCGGCAACUGCGGCACCGCGAUUGCAACUGCAUCGUAGACGCCCGUGGAGGAGGGAAGGGGAGGGGAGGGGAGGGGCGGGGGGCAGGCGGGUCGGUCGCCGAAUGCAGUCGAUCGUCGGUCGUUUUAGACGCCGUGGCGGUUGCGGAUUGCACAAUCAUGCCCGACGCGUGACCUUGCCUAGCCCCGCAACAGGUGCAUUGCGCGGGAUCCAAAAUUAUCUCGACACGACACGGAUAAAUCCGUUUGACCGGCUCCGCGCGUAAUCGAAGUCGACGUCGUUGAAUCACGAGAAGAGAGUCGAGAAACCGCACCGAGGAUAUCCCCGACCGCUCGCGACAGAAUGCGAAAACUCCGAAAGUCGCCCGACAAACUCUGAGGAACAACUGGUUGUUUCGUAGCGAAGUGCAUCGCGAGUAAUUCUCGUAUGUCUGCUGCCACCGCCUUCAUUCGUAUCGAAAGUCGGGGAAGACAAUUGCGAACGUAAUGCGAUUGGGCUGCUCUAGAACACAGCGGAGUUACACAAUCACGACCUUGGACCGUGCGCGCGGAAUUUAUCACGUCAAGUAAAUCUCCGCUCGGAAUGGAAAUCGAUCUCGGCGAGUAGCGCGCUCACGCGCGAUCGAUUUACAUUCGCGCGAUCCGAUCUGUAACGUCAAACGUACUAGAAAAUCAACCGCGAAGCGCUGAAAGAAACUGCCGAGCAGUUUGAGAUCGAUUCGAAGAGAAGAAAAUGAAAGAGAGACAUCGCCUUAGUGAUCGGAUUUACGUGAAUUCUCCGUGGAAACGUAGAGACGACGCCUACCGUGCGUGAUGUAAUCACGAUCCCGAGGAUAAUCUCGACUUGUCGCGUUAUUUCUACUGGCGUUAGCGCGAUCGAUGUACUCCGCUCGUAAAGCAGAGGAUUUGCGAGGUGCGAACGAUGAGGAUUGGCGUCGCCCCGAUAACAACGUGUCGGAAAGUGCGAAAAUAAUACUGCACGACCUAUAUAUCGCGUGCGAGAGGGCCACGCGACUCGCGAGCUACACGCGCGACGGCCAAGCGCCGACUAGAGCGGCUCGCGACUAAACCUGGCCUAGAGCAGGAGGCGCGGGCCACUAACUGCAGCGCUAGCCUAAGUAGCAGCGAAGUAGAAACGGCCCGACGAUUGCCAAUCGCACCAGCAACCAUUAUACAAUCCGUGUGCGUGCGCGUAUGUGUGCCCAGCUGCCUUUCUGCUCUGUACUGAACGCGUGUGCCAAACUCGAUUUUUUCAUGAAAAUCCAACUAUUAGAUUUUAUGCAAAUGUUUUAUGAACAAGAUAUUGAAAGACCAACUACGAAUUUGAACUAAAUAAUCUUUACUACGAGAAAUCACACUUGCUUUCAGUAGGGCACUGCACGUGUUAAUCAAGUGAACCUUCCGAGACAAAUGCUCUUUAAAAACUCAGUUUUUAAAGUCCGCAUCCCUGAUUUCAAUACGUGUCUAUUCAAUUUCCAGGACCUUCAGAUGAGCUUUCAAGAUCAUAGUAGAGGCAAAUUGAUUAACGUGGAUGUGAGAUUGGUCAGAGGAGGACAUCCGAAAAGAUAUGAAGAAAAAACGAGCAAAACAACGGUGACAAACACGUGGUGGAAAUUCAAAGCGACGUCGGCGUUGUGAAGCAGUAAUUGGGCCACUUUGCCGUUAAACGAGCUUAACGAUCGAUUCUGCCGUGCCAUCACGGCGUGGCUUCUAUAGAUCCAGUCAGAUCGGUAUGGCGGAUCCUUCGAUCGUCAUUACGUCACAACGCCGUUAAUGGACUGUUUAUUACAAAUUACGCUUAAUCUUCGCUUCGUCAUGAUAGAUUAAUGUCCAUAAAAAGAUAGAAUUGGAGAAUUGGAGCGAAGAGGACAAAUAGACAGCGAAGAACACGACAACGCUAUUACUUUAUUAUUAUACAUGUAAUUAAAAAAAAAAUUAGGUAAUAGAAUAAACGAUAUUUUAUAUUCUAAGAAAUUAAAAACCUCCAAAAGUAUAUUAAGCAUAAUUCACAAAGACAUGUUAAAAAACAAUAUUGUAACUUGCAAGAACGAGAAAAUUGUAACAAAUUGGAACAUGUAAUUUAAUAAUUACCGCAAUAUCAGAUAUUAUAAUAAAAUCAAAUCAGGAUAAAUCGAGUUCGUUCUACUAUUAUUACGAUUUAUUAUCGUCAUGUUCGAGUAUUAUCUCGAGUAUCCAGAUUUGCCUAUCCAACUAAACACACACACCUACGUCCAUACGCACACCUCCCCCCCACAUAAACGACAAAUUUGAUUAUAAUAAUUGAUAUCUAUCGUUUCCAGAAUAUCGCUUCUUCCUUUCUUAUUCGCGGAUUUUAGAUUGAUCCAUCAGAACUCCGGGAUAUGGGUCACUUCAUCGAUUCCGCGCGUCGACCCGCGGGAUGGACGCGUCCAAUAAUCGGCCUGCACUCGCGCGUGAGUUCCCGCGGACCAACUGGCGACCUUCGUCAUAGCCGCGCGUAUAAUUACGGCUAAUUAUCGAGCGCAUGCCGCCACGCACGCACGUGCACUUUCGUGCCUAAUCAAGUACGUCGUAAUAAUGUAACAUCGUAAGAAUGCUAGUCAUCGCGCCUCAUAUUUCUAUUAGAGCCAAAACAAUCUUUUCAUGUUAAAUCGUUAAUAUUGUUUUAUUCUUUCUCCGUCAUGUUUAUCAUAUUGUCACGCAUGGGAAAAACUAACAAUUAUUUAGAAGCACGUCAAAAAAGGGCUUAUUUUUUAUGUAAUAUCAUUGUUUACGCGGAUGAUUUAUCGGUAGAUGACUGUCAGAUUUAAUGCACUACAUAAGUAUUAUAUUAUAUAUAUAUAAAUUUGUAAUAUAUAUAAUAUAUUACAAAUUUUUCUGCAAUUGUAUAUAAAAAGUUCCAAAGAGUUUUGCAGUUUUGAUAAAGUGCAACAUGUAAUCUUGCGUUACAAUAAAAACUGUAGUGUUUUAGAGUUACUUGACGGUUAUGCAAUGUGAACAUGCAUAUGAUUAUUCAUGAUUAAGUAUAAGGAAUUAGAAGAAUCAGUGCAUUAUAAGAGAUGUUUCGCCAUGGCAAAAUCUCAUUUCACACAUCGUAAAAAUUAAUAUCAAGUGACAUGUGACAAAAAAAUUUCUAAGGCGGAAAAAUAGAUGUCAAUGGAGCUUCCUCUAUAACGUACAACGAUUUUCUACGAUUGAGAUUACGGCUAUUUAAAAUAGAAACUCACGACUAUUAUUGAAUCUAGAGAAGAAUUAAUCAAUUUUUUAUCGGAACGGCGCGGUGGGAGAAAAAUACUUGAAAGCGGAUCGUCGCAUCGAUGCAGAUGAUGAGUUGGUCUCAAUGUCGAUACAAACAAUAUCUAUCUAUGCACGAGGCAUAGCUUACGUAAACAAGUGUGUUACUCUCCGAGGUAUUCUGACAAAGCGCGUCCUUGGAGGACACGCUGCAACGACUGAAAAAGAAGAAAAGAAGACGCUGCGACAGGUGAGCGUGAGGGACGACGAGAAGAAGCGGGAGCAUGCGUCUCUCCCUUGGCACAGGCAGGUGCUUGGGUUGCUGAGAACCUGGGCCGACUUAAUCUUAGACCGUUACCACUACCAAUUUCGCCGUUGCACACUGUCACUGUUGUUACUACUACUACUGCCGCUACUACUACUAUUACUACUACUACUACUACCACAACUACACGUCGUUGGCAGUGGCAAUCGUCGCCGCCGCUGCUGCCGCCGUCGUCAUCGUCGUCUUGAGUCGUCACUUUUGUCACCACUAAAACGCGACACGACGCGGCGUGCCGCUCCGUCGCCCUCGGCACGGUGCGAACGCAAUAGAACCUUUAAGGCUCGCAUCUCAGCGGACACGGCGGGACACACACAACACACCAUGCAGGGAAUUGAGCAGGCAGCGAGCGCACCUGCGCGCACGCUGCCUGCACCGUUUUCUCGAUCGCGGCCCGUUCGUCCCCGUCGCGGCACCCCUGGACUGCCCCUCCUCCUCCCCUCCUUCUCCCUUCCUCCCCCUUGCCCCUCCACGGUCGUUCCUGCGGUCGGUCGGCCGCUCCCCACUCGCGUUCGCGCGACCGGUGCGUCGCGGAGGGGUCGACGAGGCACCUUUGCCCUCUCCUCCUCCUCCUCCUCUCGUACUCCCUUCCAUCACCACCACCCCUGAUGAUACCUCAUCCUUCUACGCCACCUACACACGCGCACGAGCAUGCUCGAGAGUCGAUUAUCGUUGAGAACCAGGAACCCUCCUACUACUCGAUGAGAACGAGAGCGAGAGCGAGAGAGAGAGAGAGAGAGGUGGUAACAUGGCGGUCGACCGCCAAACGCGAGCACUGAUUAUGUAAGAAGAGGCCGAAGUAAACUCUACGUUUGACGUACUUUGCGAUAAGUGCUCGCCGCCGAGUUAGUUUACACGUUACACAUUCCUGUGGCUAAUUAUUACACGCUAUUCUCGUUCUCAUAUCGCAUCUCUCGAUAAAAAUUAUGUCACAAUGCUGCAUUGAUGACGUAAGAUCAAAAAUAGCAAAAAAAAACAAAAAACGAGAAAGGAAGAAAAUGAAAACAACGCGCCGUUUAAUCUCCUGCCGAAUUAAUCGUGCGUUGCGCCUGAUAUUAUUUCGGGAGCUUUAUUAUUACAUAUUUUGAUCUGUUGACCUGUCAUCGAGACUCGCAAAAUCGCUUUUAUUACGGCUACUCGCGCAGACGAUGCAGUAAAAGAUGCGUGAGUGGAAGAUAGACGCAUUAGUCAGACCGAGCGAUUAAACAUCAUUCUUGCGUAAUCACAGCCAUAUGUGUACGUGUUACAUGUUCCACGAUUACACGUCACUCGAUACGGCGCGCAUAAUGAAAAUAAUAUUCUCAGCUUACCGUAGUAUUGUACGGUUUAAGCACAGCGUAAACGCUAAUUAAUUGAUCGUACAGUACGGGCUUGGAUGAUCAAAAGCACUUUCGACAGUAACGCAAAAUAGAAGCGAUUAGAACGUUCGAUCGAUUGGGAUGAAUUCUGAUCUUUUGAUAAAUUGAUUAUGAUUAUCGCACAGCACAAUGAACCGCGAUAUCGAAAAUGCAAACAUUUGGCUAGUCGACAACUCGCGUUGCGCAGUUGGCACAGAAAAAGAACUCGUGGGAAAAUCGAGACAAAUACGGAAUGGCAUCAAAGAAUUUACUUUUGCACGCGAAAACAGAACCCGUUUUAAUAUUGGAAACAAAAAUAUUAGAAAUAAAUAAGAAAAAGUGUAUUAAUUUUUCUCCACAGAAUAAGACUACAAACUGAAUUUCUAUUAAUGUGAAUAAUGAAACAUAUUGCAAUGCCAGAAUAUUGAUUUUCUCCAACAGAUUUUUCAAAAUAGCUUUGUAUUUGUUUUAUAAAAAUACAUAGCUUUAUAUGUAUUUAUAAAAACAAUGUAUAAUUCUUGCAUUUUGUAACUGCACCUCAAGAUAUUUUAUAAAAACAGAUCACAUCUGUUGGAAUGUAUGGUACCGGAAAUUAGGAACUUUUCUAUUUGUACGUCGAGUACACUACAGACGUGAAAGCGAAGGGGUGCGAGGAGGUGGAAGCAACACGUGGCAGUCGGUGCGCAUAGUUGUGAUCGGCUACAAAAGUAGACUCUGCGACUACUUAUAUGUUUGCAUUAAGUGUUUAUAUCGGAAACGCAGAAAACGUAUAAAACAUUAUAACCAAAAUAGCAACAAUACUUUGAUAAAUGAUAUUUUGAUAAAUUGAUACUAAGAUACUAAGAUAAUAAACAUAAAGUUAUAUUUUAAGUCUGCAGAGAUGAAGACGAGUUUAAAGAUGAACAUUAUAAUUGAUAAUUAAUAGAUCAAAUGUAGGAUGGGUAAUAACAAAGAAAUAGAGAAAAUGUGAAGCAAAGAAAAAUAUAAAGCGGUAGCUAUAAAAUAACAUAAAAGGAACGCAUUGAGGUUAAAUUUAUUCUCGCAAUUGAUAACGACUAUAGCCAAUGGAUGUAACAGUCAAGCAGAUAUUGCAAAAUACCGCUUCAUAAAAUAUGAACAACUAUUGAUAUAUAAUGCAGUCAACUAGAAUACUAGCGCCGUUAAGAACAACAAUCGAGGAGACAUUUAUGUGUCGUAUGAAAUCAAUUUCAAUCAACGAAAGCUCAUUUACAAGCGAUUUUCAGACAAUUUCGAAAUUGAAUCGCAUUUUAAUCUUCUUUAAUUAUUGAAUUAGGUAUACAUCAAACCUACAAGGCUCAAUAUCCGUACAUAGACGAUGCAGCAAUAAGGUCUCCCAUGCAGAGGCACCGGAACUCGUGCCCCUAUAAUUCCUCUUAAUCGCACGAGGAUUGAUCUUUGUCACCGUUAUGUGACAAUCUACUUGACACGUGACGUUCCCUCUUGUCACUAUGAUUCUUCUGGAAAUCAUGCGUGCGCAGAAUGGUGAAACGAGUCCGUUCACAAUCGACCAAGUCAAAUAUAUCGAAUUCUUUCGUAGAAAUGCAAGGUACUCAUUUCUCAAAGCAUUUCCGCUUCGACCUACUCAUCCGUUACCUUUUUUAAAGGUCAUAUUUCCAUGAAGUAACUUAAAUCUCAAAGCUUUUACCAAAACGAUAAAGAAUCCAUCAUUUACAGCCUGAAAGUUACAGUAAAAUGAAGUUUCGAAAAUCUUCCUUGAUGUCACAAAGUUUGCGUGUGAAAAGUACGAUGAUUUAGAUAAAAGUUGAAAGUUCGUGAAAUAGAAUCAAACGAUGGAAAAGUAUUACGGAAGUUUUUCGUGUGAAGAACGACAAGAACGUUUAUCGCCAUCGCGAGAGAGGGUUGGAAGCAUCAGGAUUGCGAGGACGAACGUGGAGGCAGCGGGAUGGACGUAUCGAUCCGAGGUAAUCAGCUUUUACUCUCUUCUAUGUAGGCAGCAGAUAUAGAGACGCGCUUGUGCCCGUCGACCUUGGGUGACAUUAAGGGCGACGAAAUCUGUGAGGAAGGUAGGACCAAGGACGGUGUCUCUUCAGCUGAUACCGCGAAUGUAGAAGGACCUUCGCUCGUCAUCUAAAUGGGAUCGUCCAAUUUGUCUGCGGAUUGUGCAACUGCAAGGAUUCAUUGGUCUAAUCCUUUUUAGAAUAUAUGGAAAUUGGACUAGGCAAUUGAUAUUGUGAUCAAUCUCCAAUCUAAGUUAAAUUUUUUACUGCUUGCAGACGGAAUCUCCUUUUAAAUAAUACACGUAAUAAAAAUCAAGUUUAUUAAUCUUAGAGCAAGUUAUAAAUAAUUUAAUAAUGUACCUUAUGCAUGAUAUAAUGCAAAUUUAAGAUUCAGACACUGUGAUCAAUCAGUGUGCAAUUGUAUCGAUCGCAUGUACACACAAAUGUAACAUUGCAACAUUUCUCAUCGACUUGAGCUGCAUCGUUGAUCUUUGUAAAACUAUAGAAAACAAUGACUCUUGUUUGAUAUGAUGAAACCAUCGAUUACAUCAUUGAAGGAUAUCGUCAGAUUUGUGUCAAUGUCACAAUUACGCCGAGUUCCUCUCGUAUUUAUCGAGAGAUACCUGAUAAAAAGCUGCGUGCUCCAGUGACGACAGCUAGUGACCUUCGGCCGACUGCAAGGUUUCGACUCUUCCGAUCCGAAUGUCGAGCCGAAAGCCUGCAACCUGGACUGGCCGCGAGUGCAACGUGGACUCUUCCGCGUGUCGGGAAAGUGGGGACGUGAGAACGGUCCCCGUCAGGGGUUGACCCAAUUCCAGUCACUAGGUUAGCCUCUGACUGUCUGACCUUUUCCCAGGAGCGGUCCCGGCGAGGGUGCACGCGCGCGCAUCAGCGGGAGAGUUUACGGAUACGGACGCGUAUGCAUGGAUGCAGCAUGCGGGUGUUUCUCGCGUUUCUGGAUCCUGCCACCGAGAACGCGCGUAUAGUUACAAUAAAACGGAGAAGGGAAUAAGAGAAGGAUUUGCUUCAUCGAAGUAGUCUAUAUCCUCUUCAAGUGUCUUUUUUCAUCUAAUAUAUUCCACGUGGUUCACCUAAAUCUGAGAAUUUUUCAAAGGCAUUCAAAUAGCUGUAUAAAACUACGUCAAACUAUACAACAUAGUCGUGAAUGGGCAUUAGAAAAAUGUUAGGAAAAUAUAUCUGUUUUCCCAACACCUGCUGACGAAAAAUGAAUGGCCAACAUAAUCGAUAAUUUCAUACUAAAAUGCGAAACGAUAUGAACGAAUGGCGUAAUAAUAGAAUAUCGAAAACGAGAAAAUUGCAAACGAGGUACCGCUCGUGGCAAAUGCGCGUAGGUGUACGCGAGGGAGGUGUUCGCCAGGUGUGGGCCGACUCUGACGGGUUAAACGAAACUGGGUCACCCCUGGGAACCGGAGAGAGCCUGUGCGGCUCGUAUCCGGGUAGGAGAGGCUGCGAGUGUCUGCGGCAGCUUGGUAAAACACCACGUGGUAUCGGGGAAGGAAAUUAUGUGCCGAGCGUCUCUUUUUUCUUCAUUUUCCGAUCACCUUUCAUACGUUACAACUCGAUUCAGGUUAAAAAAGCCUAUUAUACUAUUCCAAGCUUUUCGAUUAAAUAUUUAUUAUUUUUUUUGUAAAAUAAUCUGGUAAUCUUGGUCAAAAACGCGGUUAUAUAUCUGAUAAAUUAUGAGAUCGAUUAUGCCAACCAAUUAAUUGAUAUUAUAUUAAAAGCUACUAACUUUCCGAAAUAGUUUAUUAUAUUUCAAUAUAUUAUACUUCAAUAAAUGUAAAAGUUGAUUGAAAUUUUUCUUUUUUUAAAAUUGGUUGAAAGUUUUAGAAAUUGUAAGUGUUGAUAAAUUUGAAUGAUUAAUCUGUUAUGAAACAUGCAUAUUUAGAAGCAAUUUAGUAUCCAGCAUAGUUAUUUUCAAAAUAAAACAUUUUGCUUUACAGAAUUUUACAGGUAAAGUAUUAUAUCGCGUAAAUUGCGAGACUAAUAAUAUCUAAUACACAUUAAUGGUUAGAAAUAUGCGUCACGUAAAUAUCAGUCACGAUUACUAGGACGAGAUGUUAUGCUUGAUUCAACCACUAGAUAUUUUAAUGUACCGUAAUUUAGUAACCCGGAUUGCGGCUCCCCUUUUGCAAUGAAUGACGUCGGCAUCAGUUUAAACGUUCGUGAUUGUAAACGCGAGUCGUCGUUGCAUCGGUUCGCGAACGUUGUAACGCCAAUAUUGUUUAAUAUCCUGCUGACGCUUUUACGCAUACGUCUCGAUGAUGAAGCUCGUAAUUAAAUAAGGCUUUUCCAAAUAUUAAAAAUUAUACAAAAACAAAUUUCUGUAGACGCAACAGCACUUUGUAAAGUACACACACAAAAAGUUAUCAUUGUAGAAUAUUUAAUUUUUACAUGAUUUUUUAGAGUUAUGAAACAGAUCUCAAAGGACUAACACAAAGAUACGUGUUAUUUAGUAUUAAACAAGAUAGCGGAACACGAAGAAUAGUUUGACAAGAUCUGCAUAUGCGCAAUCACACUUUGUUCAAGCUUUGAUAUCCAUAAACAUCAAUAAGCAAAUAAGUCUUGAAAGAAAUUCACACAUUUUAGAUGGUGCACUCACAAAAAUCAAAUCAGCUGUUCAUAAACACAACCUGGUACGGUUGCGCAAUAGAUGUGUUACGUGACGAUGACUAUAGUUCCUUUUCUCUUCCUGUAUUCACGAUUGUACAUAUAUAUAUAUUCGCAACCUCUAAAGUACAAGGCUACGGGAGAAUUCGCUAGAAAUUGCAGUCGUACGCAUCACGAUGCGUUUCAUGGAUCAGCGCAAUCGCUGGGAAAUGUAGCUUGCAAUCUAGUCUGAUCAAAAGAAAAGACUUUUCAUUCAAAUUUAUUACAUCGACGUAAAUAAAUCAACAAUAAAAAAUUUCAAACCAAAUACAAAAAUGAGAUUACAAAAAUUAAUAUUUCAUGCAUGGCGUAAUUUUAUAUCGAACAUUACAAUACUGCUUCGAAAUUACUGUACAUAGUAUCGAUGACAGAUAAUAAUAAUAAUAUCUAAAAUCAUAUUUGUUAACUUUCACAUUCAAAUAUAAUCUCUAUAAAUAUUAUAAAUAUUAUAAAGUCUUAUUAUUACGUAAUUUCUCGACACAUCUUUACCCUAUUUAAUCGCGGUGAAUUUGUGUCUAAUCGAGAAGCGGCCAAAUUAAUGUAGACCUCCUGGCACGAGUAAUCUGGACCAAAGCAAAGGGUUGAAGCUGGUAGGAUUGCAACGUCGCUCUGAAUAUAUCGCGAGCCGGCGUUCAGCGUCGGGGCGCACUUUCGGCGCGUGAUAUCUGUCGCGAUCGUGCCAAUAGCAGAUGGACGCGCGCACACGAAGAUGCGCGUACUCCACGAAGAAGAGAAGGAAAUGUUUUUGCACGUCGGUUGCCAAAAAUGCAACAUGCCGCAAUUCUGCUCCGCGAGUUUACGUAACGCGGUACUGUAUCGCAACCGUUUUACUUGUCCGCCCAAGUUUUCUCGUUGCGUCGUAACGUCGGAUGACGUGGCGGUUAAAUUUUCCGCCGGCUCGACCGCGCACGUAGACGUCGACACGGCCCUGGGCUGCUGCUCGCGGUAUUAGGAGGGACUUGUGGUCGUGGAACGGCGGCUGACAUGACUCACAAAGAAGAAAUACCCGUCCCAUAGCUACGGGGCGUGUUUUGCACGUAGGAACGCAUAAUCUGGAGACGGCGCGAUUUAUUGCCGCGGAACGUAUGACGUUUCGAUGUGACAAAUAGACACCCAAGUUUCGUAUUUUUAUAACGAAAGUCUGCGAUACAGGUACAUCAAGAUUGCAACUAGCACUGGACCAUGUCGCGUAAAAGUUCAACUUAAUUGAAAAUUGGUUUUUUCUCAAUCAUAUGGUAUAAUUAAUAUCAUGUCUGGAAAACCAGCGAAUUUUGUUGACGCUUUCUUUUUCUUUUGUCUAAAGAACUGAAGAUUUCAAGAGAGAAUAUCAAAUAUAUGUAAUCAUGUAACAGAUAAAAAUUUAUUGCAAAAUGUAAAAAAAUUACUUAAUAAGAAAUUAAUGAUAUUCUACGUGAAAGUAUGUACUUAUUACGCAUUUAUAAAAAUUAUAGGAGAACCUAAAAGUACAAUUUACAAAUGUCAAUUACUCGCGUUGUAAGUGAUUGACACGAUCACGAUCGAGAAAUGACUCAAUCGUUUAACUAGCAAAUCAAGUUUUCGUAUCGAAUAAAUCUGAAGAAAAGUCGACGAAAAAUUGAGCAUCCGCGUCGAGCUUGAACUCAGCGCUGGGGGGGAUUCUUCUAAGCUCAACCGUCAGCUGAUUGGUCGACCAGGCGUCAGCUGAUUUUGACAGCCCGGACGACCUUGCGCGUCCUAGUCGAGGUAUCGACCAAUCGGAAAACGUUGCACCAUGCGCACGCGCCUGCACUAAAUCCCGAUCAGCUGACUUUCUUGCGGGACCCGCAUCCUCAACGAGACUUUAUCGAGAAGAAAUCCGAGCUACAAGUUUCCCGUCAAGCAACCUGUUCUUAAUCCAACGGUUCAAUCAAUCGGCAGGAUAUUGCGCAAGGAUUUUAAUAAAAGAAAAAAGAAGAAUCUAUCAAUCUUGUGAGAGAAGAUAUUAAAAAGCUUUUGAAAACGCUAAAAUGCAACAUCUUUGUGCUACACACGAGAAAUCCAUUCGCUUUCAUUGAAGUUUUCAAUCUUUUGCAAGAAAGAAUUGUCAAUUAAUACGUACGUCUUUCAAUACGUGAUUACUACAAGUAAACCUUUAACAUUUCGUGAGAAUAUGUGAUUUUUCAAAUGACAACUUUACGCUAAGCCGGUAAUCCGUGAUACAAUGAUAACAGUGAAGGUCACGAUUCGAUUAUUAAGAUAAGUAAGAAAAAUAACAAUUUAACAAUGAUCCCGAGUUUCAAUUACAGUUUCGAUGAUUCUUUGGGAGCCGAUCGUACUCGAGUGCAUGUGUACUUGCGCGUUGCCGAUGUUGCCGGGCUAUAUUCAUUCCGGGGUCUCGAGCUGCCCCGAUCAAUAAUUCGUUUCCCAGUCGUCACGCCCCUUAUUGCUCGCAGACGGACGAGCGGACGUAGUACCAACGAAAACCACGCACAAACUUGUGACACUAGAGACUGGAACGUGUUCAACGCUGCGGACACGCGAUGUCGGCAAAUUUUCGCUUUUCCAAUUACAUUUUCCUUCUAAUAAUCACGUUAAGAAGUUCAUGUGAAAUGCUUGAGAGAGAAAGUGGUUGACACCAAUAUAAUAGCAGACGUUUUUCCCGGAUUUUGAUAUCUCUUUAAUCCUCCUCUUGCGUGUCGGACUUUCCAUUUCUUUCAUUGCUGCUGGUAAUUGUCUUCAAUUAGAUACCGAACAUCUUGGAUCGCGUCUAUGAGUGGAACACGAUGCACCACUUUACCUUCGAUGAGUACAAUUUUCAAUCGAAUUUCACUCAUCAAGAAAAUCUCUCGAUAACUCGAGAUUUUAUCGCCCCACCGGAAACUUCUUGAGAAAACUUUCUUUGCUGCCUCGGAUUUUUUUUUCAGGGACUACACACAGAGGAACAGCCAGAUAGAAUAAGCUUUUGCCAGUCGGGUAACGGGUUGCCAACGCCCCCAGAAAACUGAGAUACCACCAGCUGUGUUCACCCGCUUCAUUACCUACCGAGUGAACGCAGAGUGGCUCCCUGUCCUCCGAAAGCUCGUUUUGCUGUUCUCCCUCUCGUACGUACGCUCUUACCGACCGGAUAAUGGCGUGCAAUUGUCACGCACCACUUCGGGGCCCUCUGGUCGCAGGCCACCGGCUUAUCACAAUGUGAAACGUCUGUAUUAUUACACAUCUCUUCAGAAUGAUGAAUGCACUGAGUUAUAAAUCACAUGUCACGUACGGGACUGUAUCAUUCUCUUCCAGUGUGCAAAGAAAUUAAAAAAGGAUAAAAAUUAGAUAAAACUCAUGUUGCAUCUUUCUUUUACACAUUCAUCUCUUAUCGAUCGUCAUAAUUGAAACAUAAUUGAAAAUACAUUAUCUUAUUACGUCUGUCAAUAUCUUGUUAAUGUUCAUUGAUUCAAAUAGAAAUUGUCGAAACUAUUCUAACAGAGUGAAACUGAUUUUCCAUAGACAACGUAAUUGUAACAUUUUUCUAAUAUUUUACAUCAACUAUUACAGCAAACCUAACGUUAGAGAAAUUAUUAUAUAAAGAUACUAUAUUUUAUUUUUUAAUUUAUGUUUAAUAGCAUUAUUUUAUUCCUAGUCUAAAGACUACUAUCUAAUGGAUAGUAUGUUAAAAUAUGUAAUUGAUAUAGGUUAUUCAAUGAGGAAAAUCCUGUCGUAGUUUAAAUAUCUCAUUUCCAUAAUUUGGCUCGACAGUAGACAGUUAUGCGCGUUUCAUUACAGUGUAUAGUCAAUGUG